rnacentral:rRNA from 1 species
CGGACGGGUGAGUAACGCGUGAGAAUUUGCCUUUAGGAGGGGGACAACAACUGGAAACGGUUGCUAAUACCCCAUAUGCUUUCGAGUGAAAUGGAUUUUUCCGCCUAAAGAGAAGCUUGCGGCUGAUUAGCUUGUUGGUGAGGUAAUGGCUCACCAAGGCGACGAUCAGUAUCUGGUUUGAGAGGACGAUCAGACACACUGGAACUGAGACACGGUCCAGACUCCUACGGGAGGCAGCAGUGGGGAAUUUUCCGCAAUGGGCGAAAGCCUGACGGAGCAAUACCGCGUGAGGGAUGACGGCCUAUGGGUUGUAAACCUCUUUUUUCAGGGAGGAAUCAAAUGACGUGUACCUGAAGAAUAAGCAUCGGCUAACUCCGUGCCAGCAGCCGCGGUAAGGCGGAGGAUGCAAGUGUUAUCCGGAAUCACUGGGCGUAAAGCGUCUGUAGGUGGUCCAAUAAGUCAACUGUUAAAUCUUGAGGCUCAACCUCAAAAUCGCAGUCGAAACUAUUAGACUAGAGUAUAGUAGGGGUAAAGGGAAUUUCCAGUGGAGCGGUGAAAUGCGUAGAGAUUGGAAAGAACACCGAUGGCGAAGGCACUUUACUGGGCUAUUACUAACACUCAGAGACGAAAGCUAGGGUAGCAAAUGGGAUUAGAUACCCCAGUAGUC